rnacentral:rRNA from 73 species
UCGUAACAAGGUUUCCGUAGGUGAACCUGCGGAAGGAUCAUU